AUGAGCCAUCAAGCCAUGAGGAGACGGGGAGCAACCUUGAGGGCAAAUCCCCAGGCGAAAGAAGCCAAUCUGAAAAGGCCACAUGCCGUCUGGUUCCACCUACAUGACGUCCUGGAAGAGGCAAAGCGAUGGAGGCAGGAAAGCGAUCAGUGGGCUGAGAGCCGAAUCCAGUCGCAGCCAGACAGAGAAACGUGUCCACGUGACUCGCCGACGACUCGGGGCAAGUGGCACGAGAGGUUAUUUAUUAGAAUUUCACUCUGCAUUGCGACACCGCCCUUCAGAUCACCUCUGCGGUUGGGCAAUCCCUGCCCUAUAAAUACCGAGGCACUCCCGCCUCUGGCAGCCUCUGGAAGCCUCCAGAAGCCUCAGGAAGCUGGGCCUGCGAGGAGCCUCUCUCCCUUCCCUGGGCAUCCCGGCCCAGCCUGCGGCCGUCAUGAGGCCUCUCUACUUGCUGCUGCUGCUUCUGUGCCUUCUCUUCUCCUACCUGCCCCCAGUGAGUCUCAGAAAAGUUGCCUUUCAAGUCCCCGGGCAGCCUGGAACAAGAACUGGAUCCCAGAUGUGGCCCCAGACCCCGUAUCCUCCUGCGUGUGGACCGCAAGAACCACGGAGGCAGGACCUGGAUUAGAAACCCCCCGGGAACUCACACCGGGCAUUGCCGACGGGCUGAGCGGGCCAUGGCCAGCAGAGACCUCGUGGGCCACGUGUCUGUGGAACCAGGCCUCGGGCCUUUGGUCCCGUUCCAGCCCCAUCUGAAGUUUGGUGGCCUGUCCCGCAGGAGUGCCCGUGCGCUGCUUCCGUCCCCAGACAGCCGAAGCAGCCCCGGAGAGGGCGCCUGCCGGCUCGGGGGGCUAGGGACCCGAAGCCUGCUGUUCACUAGGGUCCUGGUCUCGGGGUCCGGGCUGGGAUGGAGCCUGGUGGGGGGCGGGGGGGGCUGGCUCAGCCGGGAGUCUGCUUCUCUCCCUCUGCACCCCCUGCACCCCCGCUCUCCUCUCUCUCAAAUAAAUAAAAUCCUUUAAAAAACGAACCA
rnacentral:lncRNA from 1 species